UCCGUAGGUGGAAAACGUUGUCCGGAAUUACUGGGUGUAAAGGGCGUGUAGGCGGGAAAGCAAGUCAGAUGUGAAAUCCCAUGGCUUAACUGUGGAGCUGCAUCUGAAACUGUUUUUCUUGAGUAUCGGAGAGGAAAGUGGAAUUCCAAGUGUAGCGGUGAAAUGCGUAGAGAUUUGGAGGAACACCAGUGGCGAAGGCGGCUUUCUGGACGAUAACUGACGCUGAGGCGCGAAAGCGUGGGGAGAAAACAGG
rnacentral:rRNA from 1 species